ensembl:lncRNA
GUGGUCAGCCUGACUGCUUCAGCACACAGGUGUCCAACCUUCAAGGCAGAAAGAAGACGGGGUCACCUCUCAACCCCUGGACUCCAUGUGUGUGCAAUUUUCAGAGUGUUGUUUCAGGUGCUGAUUGAGGGAGCAAGGAGAGGCACUCAGCACACAGCAGCUGCAGCACCAGACAGGAAGUCACCAAAGAGGGAGUCCAGGUCAAAAGGCACUUGGGGACACAACAGAAGCAACCACAAAGACCUUGUCUGAAUCCUGACUCCAACAAACCACCUGGCAAAAGAUAUUUUGAGACAAGAGAAAUUGAAAGAUUGACAAGGGGUUAGAUAUGAAGGGUGUAUUUUAAUUUUGUUGGGUGUGAUAAUGAUAAUUUUAAAAAUAUUUCUUGGCUGAGCAGGUGGUCCAUGCCUGUAAUCCCAGCACUUUGGGAGGCUGAGAGAGGAGAAUUGUGUGAGCCCAGGAGUUCGAGACCAGCCUGAGCAACAUAGCAAGACCUCAACUCUACAGAAAAUUUUAAAACUUAGCUACUCUGGGGCUGAGGCUGCGGCAAGCCAUGGUGGCCAUUGCGCUCCAGCUGGGUCACAGUGAGACCCCGCCUCUACUAAAUUAAUUAAUUAAUUAAAUUUCCUUAUGUUGGUGGAAUACAAAGAAUCAUUUACAGAUAAAAUGACGUGCUGUCUUCUGGGAUUUCCUUUAAAUACUCUAGCAAAGCAAUAGACAAAAGCUGGGAGGCAGAUAAUGUAUGAAGCAAAACUGAACAACAUUGGUAAUUAUUUUUUUAAAUUUUAUUUGACAUCCUGCAAAGCUUUAUUCUUUAUAGGAACAGUCAGUGCCCAUCACUUCCUAUCAACAGCAAAUAAAGAGCUGCUCUCUCUAGAGGGUUGUCAGUAGUCCCAUGUGGUCCAGUGAGAUCCAGAAGUUUCCAGGAGACCUUCAAUCCUGAGUCCCUUUCAGUCAUCAUCACAUGACUCUGAUUCUUCUGCUGAGUUGGACACACUCUCUGUCAGGUCUUCUUCCAUCUGCUGGACGCUUCCCAACUGUGCAUCCACAUGUAUUUGAUGAUCAUCUUAAAUUUAGCCAAAAAGACUCAGAACGUCAGCCUGCUCCGGGGCCAGCAUAUCGCCCUCCUUGCACACCUCAUAGUCAGACAGCAGGAGUUUUACAGUUUGGGAUCUUACAUUUAGGAUUUAGUCCAUUUUGAGGUAAUUUCUGUAUGUGGCAAAGGUAAGAGCUGAAAUUCAUUCUUUUGCAUGUGGAUAUCCUAUUUUCCCAACAGCGUUUGCUGAGGAAAUUAUCUUUUCCAUGCUGUGAGGCCUUGUCAAAGAUUAUUUGACAAUAUAUGUGAGGGUUUAUUUCUGGACUCUAUUCUGUCUUUAUGCCAGUAUCAUACUGUUUUGAUCACUAUAGCUUUGCAAUAUGUUUUGAAAUCAGAAUGUGUAAGGCCUCCAGCUUCUUUUUCCCUAUAAGAUUGCUUUGGCUAUUUGGGGUUCUUUCAGAUUUUGUGGAUUUUUAAAAAUGUUUCUUCAAAAAUGCCAUUGGGAUUUUGAUAGGGAUUGCAUGGAAUCUGUAGAUUGCUUUAGUGUAUUAGACCAUUCUCACAUUGCUAUAAAGAAAAAUCUGAGACUGGGUAAUUUAUAAAGAAAAGAGGCUUAACUGGCUCACAGUUCUGCAGACUACACAGGAAGCAUAAUGGCUUCUGCUUCUGGGGAGGCCUUAGAAAGCUUACAAUCAUGGUGGAAGGGAAUGAGGGAGCAAGGCAUCUAAGAUGGUGUGAGCAGAAGCAAGGCAGUGGAGGUGCUACACACUUUUAAACAACCAGAUCUCAUGAGAAUUAACUCACUAUUAUGAAGACAGUACCAAGAGAAAUGGUGCUAAACCAUUCAUGAGAAACAGACCCCAUGAUCCAAUCACCUCCCAUAAGGCCACACCUCCAACAUUGGGCAUUACAAUUCGACAUGAGAUUUUGGCAAAGACACAAAUCCAAACUUUAUCAGGUAGUAUGAACAUUUCAACAACAUAAAUCUUCCUAUCCAUGAACAUGGAUGUCUUUACAUUUAUUUGUUUCUUCUUUAAUUUACUUCAGCAACAUUUUGUGGUUUUCAGUGUAGCUUUCAUUUCCUUGGUAAAAUUUAUUCCUAAAUGCUUUAUUCUUUUUGAUGCUAUUAUAAAUAGGAUUAUUUUUAAAUUUCUUUUUCUGAUAAUUCAUUAAUGCAGAAACACAACUGACUUUUGCAUGUGAUUUUAUGUCCUGAAACUUUUCUGAAUACAUUGAGUCAUUA